AUGACUGUACCCGAAUAAGAAGGUCCGGCUAACUUCGUGCCAGCAGCCGCGGUAAUACGAAGGGACCUAGCGUAGUUCGGAAUUACUGGGCUUAAAGAGCUCGUAGGUGGUUAAAAAAGUUGAUGGUGAAAUCCCAAGGCUCAACCUUGGAACUGCCAUCAAAACUUUUUAGCUAGAGUGUGAUAGAGGUAAGUGGAAUUUCUAGUGUAGAGGUGAAAUUCGUAGAUAUUAGAAAGAACACCAAAUGCGAAGGCAACUUACUGGGUCACUACUGACACUGAGGAGCGAAAGCAUGGGUAGCGAAGAGGAUUAGAUACCCUCGUAGUCCAUGCCGUAAACGAUGUGUGCUAGACGUUGGAAAUAUAUUUUUCAGUGUCGCAGCGAAAGCAUUAAGCACACCGCCUGGGGAGUACGACCGCAAGGUUAAAACUCAAAUGAAUUGACGGGGACCCGCACAAGCAGUGGAGCAUGUGGUUUAAUUCGAAGAUACGCGCAGAACCUUACCAACACUUGACAUGUUCGUCGCGACUUUAAGAGAUUAAAGUUUUCGGUUCGGCCGGACGAAACACAGGUGCUGCAUGGCUGUCGUCAGCUCGUGUCGUGAGAUGUUGGGUUAAGUCCCGCAACGAGCGCAACCCUCACUUUUAGUUGCCAUCAUUUAGUUGGGCACUCUGAAAGAACUGCCAGUGAUAAGCUGGAGGAAGGUGGGGAUGACGUCAAGUCCUCAUGGCCCUUACGUGUUGGGCUACACACGUGCUACAAUGG
rnacentral:rRNA from 1 species